rfam:Sus scrofa chromosome 5.
UCCCAGGUGAGUCAGUGGGUUAAGACUCCAGCUUUGUUAGGCUGUGGCUUGGGUCACAGUUGUGGCACAGGUUCAAAUCCUGGCCUGGGAA